UGCCCCAUGGCUGAGUUGGUUACAGCGUCCGACUGUUAGCAAAUACCGCAAUCGGAAGGUCGAGAGUUCGAGCCUCUCUGGGGCAG